AGUGAACGCUGGCGGUAGGCCUAACACAUGCAAGUCGAACGGCAGCACAGUAAGAGCUUGCUCUUACGGGUGGCGAGUGGCGGACGGGUGAGGAAUACAUCGGAAUCUACUUUUUCGUGGGGGAUAACGUAGGGAAACUUACGCUAAUACCGCAUACGACCUACGGGUGAAAGCAGGGGAUCUUCGGACCUUGCGCGAUUGAAUGAGCCGAUGUCUGAUUAGCUAGUUGGCGGGGUAAAGGCCCACCAAGGCGACGAUCCGUAGCUGGUCUGAGAGGAUGAUCAGCCACACUGGAACUGAGACACGGUCCAGACUCCUACGGGAGGCAGCAGUGGGGAAUAUUGGACAAUGGGCGCAAGCCUGAUCCAGCCAUACCGCGUGGGUGAAGAAGGCCUUCGGGUUGUAAAGCCCUUUUGUUGGGAAAGAAAAGCAGCAGGUUAAUACCCCGCUGCUCUGACGGUACCCAAAGAAUAAGCACCGGCUAACUUCGUG
rnacentral:rRNA from 1 species